AUUGAACGCUGGCGGCAGGCCUAACACAUGCAAGUCGAGCGGAUGAAGGGAGCUUGCUCCUGGAUUCAGCGGCGGACGGGGGAGUAAUGCCUAGGAAUCUGCCUGGUAGUGGGGGAUAACGUCCGGAAACGGGCGCUAAUACCGCAUACGUCCUGAGGGAGCAAGUGGGGGAUCUUCGGACCUUACGCUAUCAGAUGAGCCUAGGUCGGAUUAGCUAGUUGGUGGGGUAAAGGCCUACCAAGGCGACGAUCCGUAACUGGUCUGAGAGGAUGAUCAGUCACACUGGAACUGAGACACGGUCCAGACUACUACGGGAGGCAGCAGAGGGGAAUGUUGGACAAUGGGCGAAAGCCUGAUCCAGCCAUGCCGCGUGUGUGAAGAAGGUCUUCGGAUUGUAAAGCACUUUAAGUUGGGAGGAAGGGCAGUAAGUUAAUACCUUGCUGUUUUGACGGUACCAACAGAAUAAGCACCGGCUAACUUCGUG
rnacentral:rRNA from 1 species